UACGUAGGGGGCAAGCGUUGUCCGGAUUUAUUGGGCGUAAAGAGCGUGUAGGCGGCCUGAAAGGUCAGCUGUGAAAACUCGAGGCUCAACCUCGAGACGUCGGGUUGAAACCAUCUGGCUAGAGUCCGGAAGAGGAGUGUGGAAUUCCGGGUGUAGCGGUGGAAUGCGUAGAGAUCCGGAAGAACACCAGUGGCGAAGGCGGCCCGCUGGGCAGUGGCUGACGCUGAGGCGCGACAGCGUGGGGAGCAAACAGG
rnacentral:rRNA from 1 species